rnacentral:rRNA from 1 species
CGGGAAACCGGAGCUAAUACGGAUAAUAUAUUGAACCGCAUGGUUCAAUAGUGAAAGACGGUUUUGCUGUCACUUAUAGAUGGAUCCGCGCCGCAUUAGCUAGUUGGUAAGGUAACGGCUUACCAAGGCAGCGAUGCGUAGCCGACCUGAGAGGGUGAUCGGCCACACUGGAACUGAGACACGGUCCAGACUCCCUACGGGAGGCAGCAGUC